rnacentral:rRNA from 1 species
ACGGAAGGCAGCAGUGGGGAAUAUUGCACAAUGGGCGAAAGCCUGAUGCAGCGACGCCGCGUGAGUGAAGAAGUAUUUCGGUAUGUAAAGCUCUAUCAGCAGGGAAGAAAAUGACGGUACCUGACUAAGAAGCUCCGGCUAAAUACGUGCCAGCAGCCGCGGUAAUACGUAUGGAGCAAGCGUUAUCCGGAUUUACUGGGUGUAAGGGAGCGUAGACGGUAUGGUAAGUCUGAAGUGAAAGCUCGAGGCUCAACUUCGGAAUUGCUUUGGAAACUAUCAUACUAGAGUGCAGGAGAGGCAAGUGGAAUUCCUAGUGUAGCGGUGAAAUGCGUAGAUAUUAGGAGGAACACCAGUGGCGAAGGCGGCUUGCUGGACUGUAACUGACGUUGAGGCUCGAAAGCGUGGGGAGCAAACAGGAUUAGAUACCCUGGUA